rnacentral:rRNA from 1 species
CGUAGUCGAUGGGAAACAGGUUAAUAUUCCUGUACUUGGUGUUACUGCGAAGGGGGGACGGAGAAGGCUAUGUUGGCCGGGCGACGGUUGUCCCGGUUUAAGCGUGUAGGCUGGUUUUCCAGGCAAAUCCGGAAAAUCAAGGCUGAGGCGUGAUGACGAGGCACUACGGUGCUGAAGCAACAAAUGCCCUGCUUCCAGGAAAAGCCUCUAAGCAUCAGGUAACAUCAAAUCGUACCCCAAACCGACACAGGUGGUCAGGUAGAGAAUACCAAGGCGCUUGAGAGAACUCGGGUGAAGGAACUAGGCAAAAUGGUGCCGUAACUUCGGGAGAAGGCACGCUGAUAUGUAGGUGAAGUCCCUCGCGGAUGGAGCUGAAAUCAGUCGAAGAUACCAGCUGGCUGCAACUGUUUAUUAAAAACACAGCACUGUGCAAACACGAAAGUGGACGUAUACGGUGUGACGCCUGCCCGGUGCCGGA